AGCCUGUUCCACGAUGUCGAAAGAACACGUUCGCACAACUUUUACACGACAAACAGCUGAUUUCCGUUCCACUAAAAUCCAUCAGAACGAAAAUUUGCACGAAAAUCAAUGCGAACGAAAACGUAAGCGUUUCAGUGUAAUUUUGCGUUCCACUAUCUUUUUUCUUUCGUACGCAUGCGAACACAAAUGUCAAAAUCAGUCACUUGUGUGUUUGCUGUCGAAUGAUAAAAAUUAAGGAAAAUUGUUUUAACAUAAACAUUCCUUGAUUGAAAAUGGAAAGAAAAAUCACGAAAAAACUACACAGCUGCGGGCACUAGUUGAGUAUAUGGGGGAGAAUCCUAAGUUCGCCAGAGGAGUGCCAAUUUUUGGAAGCAGCAGGCAAUCCCAUGAAGACCACUGGAAGACACAAACCUAGAAAAAAUCAUUUUUUUAUUAUUUCAAAAAUGUAAAAAUACAAUCAUACUUACUGGUUGUUAGGUACUUCAAAUAAAUUCGAAGCAUCUCUUAAA